CCAGACGGCCGGAUGGCCGCUCCCCGUCGCGAGACGGGGGGAGGAAAGUCCGGGCUCCACGGAAACACGGUGCCGGGUAACGCCCGGCGGGGGCAACCCCAGGGACAGUGCCACAGAAACACACCGCCAACCCUCCGGGUUCACGCCUAGAGGCGGCAAGGGUGAAAUGGUGCGGUAAGAGCGCACCGCGCCGCCGGUAACGGCGGCGGCAGGGCAAACCACACCGGGAGCAAGACCAAGUAGGGACGGCACGCCCCGUAAGUCUUUGGAUUUAUGGGGCUAGGCGGGUUUCCGAGGCCGCCGUCCGGGUCGGUCGCGCGAGGCGUCCGGCGACGGGCGUCCCAGAUGAAUGGCCAUCCCCUGCGCAAGCGGGGACAGAACCCGGCUUACAGGCCGUCUGGUAUU
rnacentral:RNase_P_RNA from 1 species